GACGAACGCUGGCGGCGUGCCUAAUACAUGCAAGUAGAACGCUGAAGAGAGGAGCUUACUCUUCUUGGAUGAGUUGCGAACGGGUGAGUAACGCGUAGGUAACCUGCCUUGUAGCGGGGGAUAACUAUUGCAAACGAUAGCUAAUACCGCAUAACAAUGGAUGACACAUGUCAUUUAUUUGAAAGGGGCAAUUGCUCCACUACAAGAUGGACCUGCGUUGUAUUAGCUAGUAGGUGAGGUAAUGGCUCACCUAGGCGACGAUACAUAGCCGACCUGAGAGGGUGAUCGGCCACACUGGGACUGAGACACGGCCCAGACUCCUACGGGAGGCAGCAGUAGGGAAUCUUCGGCAAUGGGGGCAACCCUGACCGAGCAACGCCGCGUGAGUGAAGAAGGUUUUCGGAUCGUAAAGCUCUGUUGUAAGUCAAGAACGGGUGUGAGAGUGGAAAGUUCACACUGUGACGGUAGCUUACCAGAAAGGGACGGCUAACUACGUG
rnacentral:rRNA from 1 species